GCAGUUAUAGCUCAGUGGUAGAGCGUCACUUUGCCAAGGUGAGUGUCGCGCGUUCAAAUUGCGUUACCCGCU
rnacentral:tRNA from 1 species